UACGUAGGGCGCAAGCGUUGUCCGGAAUUAUUGGGCGUAAAGAGCUCGUAGGCGGUUUGUCACGUCGGAUGUGAAAGCCCGGGGCUUAACCCCGGGUCUGCAUUCGAUACGGGCAGACUAGAGUGUGGUAGGGGAGAUCGGAAUUCCUGGUGUAGCGGUGAAAUGCGCAGAUAUCGGGAGGAACACCGGUGGCGAAGGCGGUUCUCUGGGCCUGUACUGACGCUGAGGAGCGAAAGCGUGGGGAGCGAACAGG
rnacentral:rRNA from 1 species